CGGCGGCUGCGGCGUUCGAGCAGGGCUUUUAUUCCAGCGACCUUACAUUCUCAUCAGGGAACUGGCAGAACUGUCUGGAUCGUGGUCCAGGUAACCGGUGCCCACCUAGCUUUGCUGGGUCGAUGGGAAUAAACAUACCUGAACGGCGCACGCGGUCGCUUU
rnacentral:other from 1 species